UCCUUGCCGCCCCUGUGACCCAGCUUUGAUCUUAUAGCAGUCUUCCUCCAUCCUCGUCACCUCUGCCACCACCAUCUCCUUCCUUUCCUUGCGGUUGGCCUUGGACCAGAAGCGUGGUGCAUCUCCCCAUCCCAGACCUGCUCUUCCCACCUCGACUCUGCCCACGAUCUCCUGGUGUUGCAGGCGACUGAACGCUUGUGGUAUGUGAAACCUUGUAGCCUGGAGAAGAGAUGGAACAAGGGACAGACAAAGAAGAAGGAGGAGAAGAAAGCCAAACUGCAGGAGGAGAAUGAGAGGAUAUGGGCCAAAGUCCUGGGGAAAAGGCAACAUCGUCAAGACAGAGGAUUACUAUCACAAGCUCGACUUGAAGAAGAAGUGAGUUCAAAAAGAAGAGGAAAAGGAGUAUAAGGGCGCUAUAACUUAAAAAAUCAGUCAUAGUGCAAAGUCCAAGGAGCAAGGCUGGGAAACACACUGAAGGAAGUGGGAUCAAAAAAGACUUUGUUGAGCUCAUCUCUGAAGAGGACUG